GAACUGAAAAGCGAGACGUGCAACCAGAUAGCAUUGAAAAGCAUUUGCAAAACCGACUGCUUGCUUGUCGCGUAUUUAUGGACUGUGAAGGGCAAUUACGAAAUGCAACAUUACUACAACUUUGCAAGUCGUGUUCAGAGUUUGAGUCACAUAAUUUGUGUUUAAGCGAGCAAAAAAUCUGUUUUCACCUGGCCCAGAUGGAGUUGGUGAUCAUUUCCAGCCUGCCAACUCACCCUUGAUUGUUUUUGCCAUGACCCUACAAUGAGGGGUAAUUUGACCUUCUAGCUGCUUUUGAGACGAGGCAGAAAACCAGAACAUCAGGCAGAAACCCACGUCGUUGGACACCAAACAUCAGCUGAUAUGAAACCGGUGCGCAGUUAGAUCGGACUGGAGCAGAGGACCGAACCUGCUUUUCGAAGUUCUCUCUCAGGUGCGGGUCGAAGAGAUGGCCGGAAGUGACGGAGGAGAGGAGUUGCUACUCUCAUCUCAAUCAAGCUAAAUUUUGAAAAAGUAUUCGAAAUGGGAGAUAAAGAGGGCAGAUAUAUUCUGACCCUACCAAUAGAGAUUAACCAAAAUCAAUUCAAUGAAUGGAACAAGAUGUUAUCAAGAUAUAUAUGACAAGGCAUACUCAGUAAAUCCAGUAACCAUGACAGAACCAGUGAAAGACCGCACCCAACAGGACAGAUGACCACUGUGCAGAAGACAACAAACUUUGCAAAUACAAAAGAAAAAAAAUAUCAAGAACAUGAGAUGAAGUGUCCUUGAAAGUGAGUCCAUAGUUUGUGGGAACAAUUCAGUGACAAGCAAGUGAAGUUAUCCCCACUAGUUCAAGAGCCUGAUGGUUGAUGGGGUAAUGACUGUUCCUGAACCUAGUGAUGAGACCACCUUCCUGAUGACAGCAAUGAGGCAAGAGUAUAACCUGUCAUAGAAAAUAUGAUACAAAAGAUUAUUAAGCCCACUCUUGUACGGGUUGGAAUGCUGGUGUGUGACAGAAAAUGACCUUGCCAAGCUGUCAUCUUCCCACACCACGAUCCUCCGGAAAAUCCUCCAUAUUUUUUUGGCCAAGGGAGAUCUCUAACCACGUCUUCCUCCUCCAGUGUCACCAAGAGGACAUGGCCACCAUCAUUAUGAGUAAAUGUUGAAGAUGAAUUAGGCACAUGAUGAGAAGAGAGGCCAACUCUAUCAUCAAGACAGCACUUCAUUGGAUCCCUGAAGGACAGAGAGAGAUCAAAGGGAGCUUAGUGCUGAACAGGAAGGCAGAAAUGAGGAUAUAUGAAUCAUAUCUCAGACACAAUAGAGAAGAUGGCCAAGGACAGACAAAGAUGGAGGACCUCCACUGCUGCCCUAAAUGCUAGCAGUGAAGCAGGCAAGGACAACCUCUGGCCAAACCCCAUCAUUGUGAGAAGAGAAAGAUCUAUCUCACCUUCUGGCAUUUUGUCUACUAUCCCACAGAUUACAGAAAGUACCCUUUCAAGAACCUUUGGAAUGUGAGGGCGUUUGCCUCGACCAUCCAUUCAGUUCUGAUUCAGAUGUAUCUAUCUCAUUUACAUCAGAACAUACAGUGAAAUACAUCAUUUGUGUUAACAACCAACGUUCCCAGGGAUGUGCUGGGGAAGCCCGCACUGUCAUCACACAUUCCACACCAGCAUAGUAUGCCUACAAUUUUCAGCAGAACAACACUCAAGCAGCGGCAACAACAACAAACAAAACAAGGAAACAGCAGAAAAACGCGUCUCUUCCCCAUCCACUGAAUCACAGUCACAGACAGCCCUCCAAUCCCAGGAUAGGCCACUGCCAGGCCUCUGGUCCUUGGCCCCAGAUUCUUUGGCUCUCAGUCAUUGGGUCUCCAACCUUGGGCUGUCUACCCCCAGACUCGUCAAUGUUGGUGUUUGAGCUUUGGGCUUCUACCUCUGGAUUUGCUGAGCUCUGGACUUCAUCCUUUGACUUUGCCGACAUUUGGCUGUUGCCCCCAGGAUUUGCCAGUCAUGAGUUUGACCUUUUGAGCCCAGACCUGAGGACUCACCAAUCACAGGUUUGACCUUCAGGCCUCAAAUUCCAGACUUGCGUGGACCUCUGACGAUGUUGACCUGAGGGAGGGAACUUGGGUCCUCGUGACUCCCACCCACAUGGGCUUGCCAACCUGAGGAUCACUGGUCUCAUCAGCACUGGCUGACCCACCCCCAGGAUUGUUAACCUUUGACCUAGACUCCAAACACCAGCUCCUCGCCCUGACUCUUCAUUUUCUGCCCCUGACACCUAUCUGUCCCACAUCCUUGUCUUUAAAUCCCAACCUGACCCCUAUCUCUUCUGUGCUGUCUCCAAAGCUAUCCCUCUGAACCUAAAAAAAAACUAAGCCUGACCCAGGACAUCGCAGCUCAACAUCAUCUUGACUGGAUCAGUUAGUAAGUUCCAGAUAACCAGCCGCGGGGACACAUCAAACACUACAGUCACUCCAGGGUGGAGUCUCCUAUUGCAAAGAACACCAUAAACAGGCAUGGCUUAAAAACUUGUGAAAAUAAACCCAAACAAUGGUCAGCAGCUGUGAAUGUACAACAGCUGCAAUGCAUCAUUCAAGGAUUUACAGCAACAUUUCUGUUUCUGCUGAGUCUCGAGUCCAUAUCUCCCCUCUUAUCCUGUAGACUACAGAUUAAAUGCAUGCACUCCUGUUUGUUGAGUCCUCUGCUAGAACAAAUGCAUCCUUUUUAUUAACCCCCAUAUAUAUAUCUAGGUAAGCCCCUCACAUUUGAUAUAUCUCAAUUAAAUCUCUCUUUAACAUGGAAGCUUGUAUGAUGUAUAGCUCUGGGAUUGUGCUCCCAAUGCUCUUUUUCCAGUUAGUAGGGUUUUUUCCCCUCCUUUUUCUUUCAAAAAAUAUUCUUAACACUUUAUUUUCUCAUUAUUAUUGAUAUAUUGCUUAGCUUUGUUAAUCAGUUAUUUGCUAAUUUAAUUCUUUA